GAUGAACGCUGGCGGCGUGCUUAACACAUGCAAGUCGAACGAUGAAGCCGGAGCUUGCUCUGGUGGAUUAGUGGCGAACGGGUGAGUAACACGUGAGUAACCUGCCCUUGACUCUGGGCUAAGCGCUGCAAACGGCGUCUAAUACCGGAUACGAGCUUCCACCGCAUGGUGAGUUGCUGGAAAGAAUUUCGGUCAAGGAUGGACUCGCGGCCUAUCAGCUUGUUGGUGAGGGAACGGCUCACCAAGGCGACGACGGGUAGCCGGCCUGAGAGGGUGACCGGCCACACUGGGACUGAGACACGGCCCAGACUCAUACGGGAGGGAGCAGUGGGGAAUAUUGCACAAUGGGCGCGAGCCUGAUGCAGCAACGCCGCGUGAGGGACGAAGGCCUUCGGGUCGUAAACCUCUUUUAGCAGGGAAGAAGCGAAAGUGACGGUACCUGCAGAAAAAGCACCGGCUAACUACGUGCCAGCAGCCGCCGUAA
rnacentral:rRNA from 1 species